rnacentral:rRNA from 1 species
AUGGAAGUGGAUGUCGGCCGAGACGCCCGGGAGGACCCGGAGGAGAGUCCCGUGGAGAACCUUCCGAUCCCGGAGUCCCCCGUUAUUGGGUUUACGGGAGACUCCAAGGCCCCGAGAGGCAUCAAUAACCCUAGCAUCUUGCAGCUGCCAUGUAUGUUUUUUCUCUCUCGCUCUCUUUUUCUCGAAGUUCUUUUUACCGCCCGUUCUGUCUAUGAACUUCGAUCGGCGGACAAUGAACCUGUUGACCCAAAGAAUUACCUUGAGGAACGCUGCAAGCCGCAAUGUGUAAAAUCAUUGUAUGACUAUGAGAGAUGUGUGAAGAGAGUCGAGAAUGAUGAAACUGGGCAGAAGCACUGCACCGGGCAAUUCUUCGACUACUGGUCAUGCGUCGACAAAUGUUAUGUCAGGUAUGUGCAGAGGGUCAGUCUGUCGAGGCCGAGAUGUCCUUCGGUUGCUUGCUCGUUUCACCUGAAGUUCCCUGUAGAAGGAGAGAACAAUCUACUGUUACGGUUCUUUAAUUCCUGUUCUUAUAUCUGGUAA